CAAUAGCUUGCAUAAAUUUAACGACCGUAGAAGCAACAUCAAAAAAUACCUGACAUCGUUCACAAUAUAGUCACAUUAAAUAAUCGAAGAUUGGAUCCAUCAUGCAAAUUGUUAUGUUAUGACUUCGUAUGAUUAAUUUUUAGAUGAGAGAUUAUAAAAUAUAUUUACAUUUGUUAUGUCAGUCGUUGAUGGACAAGUGAAGACAAGACAUGAAUUUUUUCGACCAUAUUAACGCAACAGGAUGAUUUAAAUAAUCGAACAACAGCUUUAACGACAUAUUUGUAACGCCGAAGGAAUUCAAACUCGAGGAAGAUGCCUCUUGUAAGAAGACGACGACGACAGGAGUGAAAGUAAUGCUUAAGGCAUAACAUAUCCUCGUAAAGUAUAUCGUAAAGAGAGAAUAUAUUAAAGUAAAACGAGAUAGAGUCCGAAGUUUAAUAAAAAUAAAAAUAAAAAAAUAAAAACAAGUUUGAGAAGAAAAAGAAGAAGCAGAUUCUACUAAAGCUAGUUCAGAUCGUGCGAUCUACGAUUAUAAAUCCGUACAUACUUAUAUACAUCGCCCGCGUUCUCAAUAUUUAUUACGGCACGUGUACUGAUUUGCCACGUGCACUGUACAGAGUACUCUAGAGUACCGUAUCAAGACUCAGUUACAUUUUAUAUCCAGCGUAG